rnacentral:rRNA from 1 species
AACGAACGCUGGCGGCAUGCCUAAUACAUGCAAGUCGAACGAGAUCUUCGGAUCUAGUGGCGCACGGGUGCGUAACGCGUGGGAAUCUACCCUUGGGUUCGGAAUAACAGUUAGAAAUGACUGCUAAUACCGGAUGAUGACGUAAGUCCAAGGAUUUAUCGCCCAGGGAUGAGCCCGCGUAGGAUUAGCUAGUUGGUGAG